rnacentral:rRNA from 1 species
AUUGAACGCUGGCGGCAGGCCUAACACAUGCAAGUCGAACGGUAGCACAGAGGAGCUUGCUCCUUGGGUGACGAGUGGCGGACGGGUGAGUAAUGUCUGGGAAACUGCCCGACGGAGGGGGAUAACUACUGGAAACGGUAGCUAAUACCGCAUAACGUCGCAAGACCAAAGAGGGGGACCUUCGGGCCUCUUGCCAUCGGAUGUGCCCAGAUGGGAUUAGCUAGUAGGUGGGGUAACGGCUCACCUAGGCGACGAUCCCUAGCUGGUCUGAGAGGGUGACCAGCCACACUGGACGUGAGACACGGUCCAGACUCCUACGGGAGGCAGCAGUGGGGAAUAUUGCACAAUGGGCGCAAGCCUGAUGCAGCCAUGCCGCGUGUAUGAAGAAGGCCUUCGGGUUGUAAAGUACUUUCAGCGAGGAGGAAGGCGUUGUGGUUAAUAACCGCAACGAUUGACGUUACCCGCAGAAGAAGCACCGGCUAACUCCGUGCCAGCAGCCGCCGUAA